AACGAACGCUGGCGGCAUGCCUAACACAUGCAAGUCGAACGAGACCUUCGGGUCUAGUGGCGCACGGGUGCGUAACGCGUGGGAACCUUCCCUUAGGUUCGGAAUAACUCCCCGAAAGGGGUGCUAAUACCGGAUAAUGUCUUCGGACCAAAGAUUUAUCGCCUUUGGCUGUGCCCGCGUUGGAUUAGCUAGUUGGUAGGGUAAAAGCCUACCAAGGCGACGAUCCAUAGCUGGUCUGAGAGGAUGAUCAGCCACACUGGGACUGAGACACGGCCCAGACUCCUACGGGAGGGAGCAGUGGGGACUAUUGGACAAGGGGCGAACGCCUGAUCCAGCAAUGCCGGGGGAGUGAUGAAGGCCGUAGGGUUGUAAAGCUCUUUUACACGCGAUGAUAAUGACAGUACCGGGAGAAUAAGCGCCGGCUAACUACGUG
rnacentral:rRNA from 1 species